rnacentral:rRNA from 1 species
CAUUAAAUAGCCGCAAUUCGUGCUAAGGUAGCAUAAUCAUUUGUCUUUUAAAUGAAGACUAGAACAAAAGAUUUAACAUUUUUAUUAAUUAUCUUUUUCUUAUUAAUCUAAUUUAUUAUAAAUGUAAAAAAACAUUUAUAUUUAAGAUAGACGACAAGACCCUAUUGAACUUUACUUAAGUUAAACKGGGGCAGUUAAUCAAUUAUUAUUUUAAUAUAAAAAUUAUUAAAAAAAUCUAAUUAAUUAAUAAUCCAGUUACCAUAGGGAUAACAGCGCAAUUAUAUUUUAAAGCUCUUAUAUAAAAUAUAGAUUACGACCUCGAUGUUGAAUUAAUAUCCUAAUUAAAGCAAAUUUUAAUAUAGGAAGUCUGUUCGACUUUUAAAAAAUUACAUGAUUUGAGUUCAGACCGGUAUAAGCCAGGUCGGUUUCCAUCUUCUAAAUAAAAUUUUACAGUACGAAAGGACCCAGAAACUUAAUUAAAUUAAUUUAUUAGCAAAUAAAUGCAUUAGAAUUAGAAUCUAAAAAAAC